UACGAAGGGGGCAAGCAUUGUUCGGAAUUACUGGGCGUAAAGGGUGCGUAGGCGGAUCGAUCAGUCAGGUGUGAAAGCCCAAGGCUCAACCUUGGAAUUGCAUUUGAUACUGUCAGUCUAGAAUUGUGGAGAGGAGUAUGGAAUUCCCAGUGUAGAGGUGAAAUUCGUAGAUAUUGGGAAGAACACCGGUGGCGAAGGCGGCUCUCUGGACCGAGACUGACGCUGAGGCGCGAAAGCGUGGGGAGCAAACAGG
rnacentral:rRNA from 1 species